rnacentral:rRNA from 1 species
AGAGUUUGAUCCUGGCUCAGGAUGAACGCUGGCGGCGUGCUUAACACAUGCAAGUCGAACGAACCUUCGGGUUAGUGGCGGACGGGUGAGUAACGCGUGGGAAUCUGCCCUCAGGAGGGGGAUAACGGCUGGAAACGGCCGCUAAUACCCCAUAUGCCGAGAGGUGAAAGGAAAUUCGCCUGAGGAUGAGCCCGCGUCUGAUUAGCUAGUUGGUGGGGUAAGAGCUUACCAAGGCGACGAUCAGUAGCUGGUCUGAGAGGAUGAUCAGCCACACUGGGACUGAGACACGGCCCAGACUCCUACGGGAGGCAGCAGUGGGGAAUUUUCCGCAAUGGGCGAAAGCCUGACGGAGCAACGCCGCGUGAGGGAUGAAGGCCUCUGGGCUGUAAACCUCUUUUCUCAAGGAAGAAGACAUGACGGUACUUGAGGAAUAAGCCACGGCUAAUUCCGUGCCAGCAGCCGCGGUAAUACGGGAGUGGCAAGCGUUAUCCGGAAUUAUUGGGCGUAAAGCGUCCGCAGGCGGCCCUGUAAGUCUGUCGUUAAAGCGUGGAGCUUAACUCCAUUUAAGCGAUGGAAACUACAGGGCUUGAGUGUGGUAGGGGCAGAGGGAAUUCCCGGUGUAGCGGUGAAAUGCGUAGAUAUCGGGAAGAACACCAGUGGCGAAGGCGCUCUGCUGGGCCAUAACUGACGCUCAUGGACGAAAGCCAGGGGAGCGAAAGGGAUUAGAUACCCCUGUAGUCCUGGCCGUAAACGAUGAACACUAGGUGUCGGGGGAAUCGACCCCCUCGGUGUCGUAGCCAACGCGUUAAGUGUUCCGCCUGGGGAGUACGCACGCAAGUGUGAAACUCAAAGGAAUUGACGGGGGCCCGCACAAGCGGUGGAGUAUGUGGUUUAAUUCGAUGCAACGCGAAGAACCUUACCAGGGUUUGACAUCCUGCGAAUCCCUUGGAAACGAGGGAGUGCCUUCGGGAGCGCAGAGACAGGUGGUGCAUGGCUGUCGUCAGCUCGUGUCGUGAGAUGUUGGGUUAAGUCCCGCAACGAGCGCAACCCACGUCUUUAGUUGCCAGCAUUCAGUUGGGCACUCUAGAGAGACCGCCGGUGAUAAACCGGAGGAAGGUGUGGAUGACGUCAAGUCAUCAUGCCCCUUACAUCCUGGGCUACACACGUACUACAAUGCUACGGACAAAGGGCAGCAAGCUCGCGAAAGUUAGCAAAUCCCAUAAACCGUGGCUCAGUUCAGAUCGUAGGCUGCAACUCGCCUACGUGAAGGAGGAAUCGCUAGUAAUCGCAGGUCAGCAUACUGCGGUGAAUACGUUCCCGGGCCUUGUACACACCGCCCGUCACACCAUGGAAGUUGGCCAUGCCCGAAGUCGUUACUCCAACCC